UCGAGCGAGUCUGCCUUGAAGAUCGGAGUGCUUGCACUCUGUGAAACAAGAUACAGGCUAGCGGCGGACGGGUGAGUAACACGUGGGUAACCUGCCCAAGAGAUCGGGAUAACACCUGGAAACAGAUGCUAAUACCGGAUAAUAACAGAUGAUGCCUAUCAACUGUUUAAAAGAUGGUUCUGCUAUCACUCUUGGAUGGACCUGCGGUGCAUUAGCUAGUUGGUAGGGUAACGGCCUACCAAGGCGAUGAUGCAUAGCCGAGUUGAGAGACUGAUCGGCCACAUUGGGACUGAGACACGGCCCAAACUCCUACGGGAGGCAGCAGUAGGGAAUCUUCCACAAUGGACGCAAGUCUGAUGGAGCAACGCCGCGUGAGUGAAGAAGGGUUUCGGCUCGUAAAGCUCUGUUGUUGGUGAAGAAGGACAGGGGUAGUAACUGACCUUUGUUUGACGGUAAUCAAUUAGAAAGUCACGGCUAACUACGUGCCAGCAGCCGCGGUAAUACGUAGGUGGCAAGCGUUGUCCGGAUUUAUUGGGCGUAAAGCGAGUGCAGGCGGUUCGAUAAGUCUGAUGUGAAAGCCUUCGGCUCAACCGGAGAAUUGCAUCAGAAACUGUCGAGCUUGAGUACAGAAGAGGAGAGUGGAACUCCAUGUGUAGCGGUGAAAUGCGUAGAUAUAUGGAAGAACACCGGUGGCGAAGGCGGCUCUCUGGUCUGUUACUGACGCUGAGGCUCGAAAGCAUGGGUAGCGAACAGGAUUAGAUACCCUGGUAGUCCAUGCCGUAAACG
rnacentral:rRNA from 1 species